rnacentral:hammerhead_ribozyme from 1 species
AUCUAACUGACGAGUCCCUUGUAGGACGAAAUGUACGUCUUGGAU